rnacentral:RNase_P_RNA from 1 species
UGAUUGGACUGGGCAGUCGCUGGUGCUUUUAGCACGAGAGGAAAGUCCGAGCCCCACAGAGCAGGAUGACGGCUAACGGCCGCCGAGGGUAACCUUAGGGAAAGUGCAACAGAGAUAUACCGCUUGUCACAUUUUUUGUAGUCCUCAAGACGAAUGAAAUGAAUUUUGACGAGUAAGGGUGGAAAGGCGAGGUAAGAGCUCACCAGCGUGGUGGAGACAUCACGGCUAUGUAAACCCCAUCUGGAGCAACGCCGGCUUGCAUAGGUUUGCUCGACCGUUAAAGCAGAAGGGCGGCUUGAACUGUGUAGCAAUACACAGUCUAGAUAGAUGAUUGCCUUAAAUGACAGAACUCGGCUUACAGGUCCUAUCACAUA